GUCAGCAGCCGCGGUAACACCGGCGGCCCGAGUGGUGAUCGUGAUUAUUGGGUCUAAAGGGUCCGUAGCCGGUUUGGUCAGUCCUCCGGGAAAUCUGAUAGCUCAACUAUUAGGCUUUCGGGGGAUACUGCCAGACUUGGAACCGGGAGAGGUAAGAGGUACUACAGGGGUAGGAGUGAAAUCUUGUAAUCCCUGUGGGACCACCUGUGGCGAAGGCGUCUUACCAGAACGGGUUCGACGGUGAGGGACGAAAGCUGGGGGCACGAACCGGAUUAGAUACCCGGGUAGUCCCAGCCGUAAACGAUGCUCGCUAGGUGUCAGGCAUGGCGCGACCGUGUCUGGUGCCGCAGGGAAGCCGUGAAGCGAGCCACCUGGGAAGUACGGCCGCAAGGCUGAAACUUAAAGGAAUUGGCGGGGGAGCACAACAACGGGUGGAGCCUUGCGGUUUAAUUGGACUCAACGCCGGACAACUCACCGGGGGCGACAGCAAUAUGUAGGCCAAGCUGAAGACUUUGCCUGAAUCGCUGAGAGUGGAGGUGCAUGG
rnacentral:rRNA from 1 species